ACGCCGUAAACGAUGUCGACUUGGAUGUUGUGCCCUUGAGGCGUGGCUUCCGGAGCUAACGCGUUAAGUCGACCGCCUGGGGAGUACGGCCGCAAGGUUAAAACUCAAAUGAAUUGACGGGGGCCCGCACAAGCGGUGGAGCAUGUGGUUUAAUUCGAUGCAACGCGAAGAACCUUACCUGGUCUUGACAUCCACGGAAGUUUUCAGAGAUGAAAAGGUGCCUUCGGGAACCGUGAGACAGGUGCUGCAUGGCUGUCGUCAGCUCGUGUUGUGAAAUGUUGGGUUAAGUCCCGCAACGAGCGCAACCCUUAUCCUUUGUUGCCAGCGGUCCGGCCGGGAACUCAAAGGAGACUGCCAGUGAUAAACUGGAGGAAGGUGGGGAUGACGUCAAGUCAUCAUGGCCCUUACGACCAGGGCUACACACGUGCUACAAUGGCGCAUACAAAGAGAAGCGACCUCGCGAGAGCAAGCGGACCUCAUAAAGUGCGUCGUAGUCCGGAUUGGAGUCUGCAACUCGACUCCAUGAAGUCGGAAUCGCUAGUAAUCGUGGAUCAGAAUGCCACGGUGAAUACGUUCCCGGGCCUUUGUACACACCGCCCGUCACACCAUGGGAGUGGGUUGCAAAAGAAGUAGGUAGCUUAACCUUCGGGAGGGCGCUUACCACUUUGUGAUUCAUGACUGGGGUGAAGUCGUAACAAGGU
rnacentral:rRNA from 1 species